GCCAGCCCGCUCAGAAACUAAGGAAUUGACGGGGGCCGCACAAGCGGAGGAACAUGUGGUUUAAUUCGAUGAUACGCGAGGAACCUUACCUGGGCUAGAACGCAAUCGGAAUCAGGCCGAAAGGCCUGCGCCAGCGAUGGCCGGUUGCGAGGUGCUGCAUGGUUGUCGUCAGCUCGUGCCGUGAGGUGUCGGGUUAAGUCCCAUAACGAGCGCAACCCCUAUCAUUAGUUGCCAUCAGGUCAAGCUGGGGACUCUAAUGAAACUGCCUACGCAAGUAGUGAGGAAGGUGGGGAUGACGUCAAAUCAGCACGGCCCUUACGUCCAGGGCUACACACGUGCUACAAUGGUCGGUACAAAGGGUUGCCAAGCCGCGAGGUGGAGCUAAUCCCAUAAAACCGAUCGUAGUCCGGAUCGCAGUCUGCAACUCGACUGCGUGAAGUCGGAAUCGCUAGUAAUCGUGAAUCAGAAUGUCACGGUGAAUACGUUCCCGGGCCUU
rnacentral:rRNA from 1 species